UACAGAGGUCUCAAGCGUUGUUCGGAUUCAUUGGGCGUAAAGGGUGUGUAGGUGGCGCGCUAAGUCGGGUGUGAAAUUUCGGAGCUUACUCCGAAACUGCAUUCGAUACUGGCGUGCUUGAGGACUGGAGAGGAGACUGGAAUUCAUGGUGUAGCAGUGAAAUGCGUAGAGAUCAUGAGGAAGACCAGUGGCGAAGGCGGGUCUCU
rnacentral:rRNA from 1 species